rnacentral:rRNA from 1 species
UACGUAGGGGGCGAGCGUUGUCCGGAUUUAUUGGGCGUAAAGAGCUCGUAGGCGGUUCGGUAAGUCGGGUGUGAAACCCCGGGGCUCAACCCCGGGCAUGCAUCCGAUACUGCCGUGACUAGAGUCUGGUAGAGGAGUGUGGAAUUCCCGGUGUAGCGGUGAAAUGCGCAGAUAUCGGGAGGAACACCAGCGGCGAAGGCGGCACUCUGGGCCAGCACUGACGCUGAGGAGCGAAAGCGUGGGUAGCGAACAGG